rnacentral:rRNA from 1 species
UAAUACGUAGGGCGCAAGCGUUGUCCGGAAUUAUUGGGCGUAAAGAGCUCGUAGGUGGCUUGUCACGUCGGGUGUGAAAGCUUGGGGCUUAACUCCAGGUCUGCAUUCGAUACGGGCUGGCUAGAGGUAGGUAGGGGAGAACGGAAUUCCUGGUGUAGCGGUGAAAUGCGCAGAUAUCAGGAGGAACACCGGUGGCGAAGGCGGUUCUCUGGGCCUUACCUGACGCUGAGGAGCGAAAGCGUGGGGAGCGAACAG